CACGUUAGGAACUUUGCAGGAAAACACAAAGAGACUGUAGAGAUUACAACCACCACCUUAUCCGCUGCUGAAGAGUUUGUGUGCAUGUUUAAGUGUUUCGCCCAGCUCCUCUUUCCCCGGCUACAAACAGCAAACACACGAAUGAGCUAGCCAGCUCUUAAACUGAAAAACCUCUCGAAGCAGGCGAGUGAUGCAAGAGAAAAUCUGAGGGGCGGCACGAGGGUCAAAUAAAAGUUGCUUUUCAGUUCGCUCCUCCAAGCCCCGCAGCGACCGCAGGGGGGUGAGAUUCCCAAAGCCACUUUCACACCUUCGAUAAUGCACUAGCAAAGAGAAGCCCGAAGAGGCUGAAGUUUCCACGGAGGGCACCGUCGGGGAGACGCAGCCCGGGAGGACGGGAGGGUUGGGCUCGCUACCUCUGUACACGGGCGAGCCGGGGCUCCGUCUCUCAGCAUGUGACACCUUCUGCCAUGGGAUGAUGCCACAAGAAGAACCUCACCAACUGCUCGCACCUUGAUAGUGGACUUCACAGCCUCCAGAACUGUGAGCCAGGAAAAAUGUGUGACUGCAAAUUUGGAAACUAGACAGGAUCUACCAAUACAGGGCAGAAUGUUAAAAAGAGGAUGAAUUUUGAUUUCAGAAAAUUUAGAAGAAAAUGGAUUUCUCAGGCAACUGAAAGAACAUAUUUGGAUCUGUUAAGACUAAGGGAGGCUUCAAGAGAACAGGACUUUGUGUUGGACAGACUAUCUGUGACAGGGAAAAAAACCCCUUCUCAAUGAUUAGGGACAAAUCAGUUAACUGGCUUGAGUUUCACAUUCUUCAUCUGUAAAAUCUGGUGAUUAGACUGGCCCAGCAAAAGAUAUAAUACACAUAAAUUGGAAUGAAUCUGCAUUUUCCAAGCCUGAUGAAUUUAUUAAAACUGAAUUAAGUCACUAACUGGCAGCCUGAAGAUGCAAGGAAAGAACUGAGUCAUGCUUCUUAAGGUAAAAGGGCAGUCUAACUGAGAAUUUUGUUAUCUCUGAGGACAAAUUACAAGGAGAUAAAGACACUCAAGAUCACAUGGAAGGCUUCUGCUCCCACUUAGAGACUGCAAUGUAAGGUAUGGAAACAGAAUAUUCUCUAUAGAAACAUAAAUGUUAAAAUAUGAACAUUUUUGUUCUUAUUUCAAUCCAAAAAUAAAUAAAUGAAUUAAAUGUCAAAGAUA